rnacentral:rRNA from 1 species
AGAGUUUGAUCCUGGCUCAGGACGAACGCUGGCGGCGUGCUUAACACAUGCAAGUCGAGCGGAAAGGCCCUUCGGGGUACUCGAGCGGCGAACGGGUGAGUAACACGUGAGCAACCUGCCCCUGGCUCUGGGAUAGCCUCCGGAAACGGGGAUUAAUACCGGACAUUCACUCUCUUGGGCAUCUUCGAGAGUGGAAAGUUUUUUCGGCCGGGGAGGGGCUCGCGGCCUAUCAGCUUGUUGGCGGGGUAACGGCCCACCAAGGCGACGACGGGUAGCCGGCCUGAGAGGGCGACCGGCCACACUGGGACUGAGACACGGCCCAGACUCCUACGGGAGGCAGCAGUGGGGAAUAUUGCGCAAUGGGCGGAAGCCUGACGCAGCGACGCCGCGUGGGGGAUGAAGGCCUUCGGGUUGCAAACCCCUUC